rnacentral:tRNA from 1 species
GCCCCCGUCGUUCAACGGACAGGACAGGAGGCUUCUAUCCUCCUAAUGUGGGUUCGACUCCUACCGGGGGCA